UCGAGCUCUAACCAACUGAGCUACAGAGGACAGUUGUCGAGCUCUAACCAACUGAGCUACAGAGAGACAGUUGUCGAGCUCUAACCAACUGAGCUACAGAGACCAGUUGUCGAGCUCUAACCAACUGAGCUACAUAGUCCAGUUGUCGAGCUCUAACCAACUGAACUACAGAGAGACAGUUGUCGAACUCUAACCAACUGAGCUACAGAGAGACAGUUGUCAAGCUCUAACCAACUGAGUUACAGAGGCCAGUUGUCAAGCUCUAACCAACUGAGCUACAGAGGCCAGUUGUCAAGCUCUAACCAACUGAGCUACAGAGAGACAGUUGUCGAGCUCUAACCAACUGAGCUACAGAGAGACAGUUGUCAAGC
rnacentral:lncRNA from 1 species